rnacentral:rRNA from 1 species
CAAACAACUCUCGGCAACGGAUAUCUCGGCUCUCGCUUCGUUGAAAAAGGUACCGAAAUGCGAUACUUGGGGUGAAUUGCAAAAUCCCGGGAACCAUCGAGUCUUUAAACGCAAGUUGCCCCCAAAGCCUUUAGGCCAAGGGCACGUCUGCCGGGGCGUCACGC